AACGCGAAGAACCUUACCUACCCUUGACAUCCAGAGAAUCCCGCAGAGACGUGGGAGUGCCGAAAGGAACUCUGAGACAGGUGCUGCAUGGCUGUCGUCAGCUCGUGUUGUGAGAUGUUGGGUUAAGUCCCGUAACGAGCGCAACCCUUAUCUUUAGUUGCCAACAUGUAAUGGUGGGGACUCUAAAGAGACUGCUGGUGAUGAACCGGAGGAAGGCGGGGACGACGUCAAGUCAUCAUGGCCUUUAUGGGUAGGGCUACACACGUGCUACAAUGGACAGUACAGAGGGUUGCCAACCCGCGAGGGGGAGCCAAUCCCAGAAAGCUGUUCGUAGUCCGGAUCGGAGUCUGCAACUCGACUCCGUGAAGUCGGAAUCGCUAGUAAUCGCGAAUCAGAACGUCGCGGUGAAUACGUUCCCGGGCCUUGUACACACCGCUCGCGA
rnacentral:rRNA from 1 species